rnacentral:rRNA from 1 species
AUUGAACGCUGGCGGUAUGCUUAACACAUGCAAGUCGAACGGUAACAGGACUAGCUUGCUAGUCGCUGACGAGUGGCGGACGGGUGAGUAACGCGUAGGGAUCUGCCUAACAGCGGGGGACAACCUGGAGAAAUCCAGGCUAAUACCGCAUACGCCCUACGGGGGAAAGAAGGCCUCUUCUUGAAAGCUUUCACUGUUAGAUGAGCCUGCGUUAGAUUAGCUUGUUGGUGGGGUAAUGGCCUACCAAGGCGACGAUCUAUAGCUGGUCUGAGAGGAUGACCAGCCACACUGGGACUGAGACACGGCCCAG